rnacentral:lncRNA from 1 species
UUUCUUCUAUUCUUCUCUCUAUACGUUAGUGUUCUGACCAAUAAUCACCUAUGCGAUGUUCUGUCCGAUCGAUUCAGGAACCAUCUAAUAAAUGCCAAAGUGCUGUACUUUGUGAAUUUCGGUAAAUGGAAUCCAAAGUGCUAUACUUUGUGAAUUUUGUUAAGGUUCGAAUCUCAUGACUACCGUUAAGGUUUGAUUUGGGUUUUACACAAAUACGUAUUCCAUUCUGUUAAACUAUAUGUUUAACUACCAGAAUACUCCCAACCACACACUUACAAUCAAACAAGCUCUUAAAUCAUCAGAAGAUCCAGAACAAUAAAGUAUACGCUUAAUUAUUAUUAGAAGGAGUAGAAUCAAGAAGCUUGUUAAAUCAAUACUGCAUGCUUAUACUGUAAUUACAGUAGAUUGGAGUAAGAAUUGGAUCCGGCACUGAAGGACUUCAAGAAAUGGCUUAUUUUAUUAAUUAAAUCAAAUUAAGAAAUAUUGUUUUCAUUAAAAGCUACCUUUGUUAAAUAUGCAAUUUAUUCCAUCUAUUUAAAUAAAAUCCGGUGUUUCUAAACUCUGAUAUUUUUCCUAACUCACGGUUCUGAUGAAAUUUCGGCUGCAAUAAUUUUCAAAAUAAAUCACCGGUACCACUGGGCUGCUCACGGCUCCCGAUUCCGGCCAUAUGGGGUCGGGGGUCGUGACAAUAUCGGCUAGUUUCGAUGCACAAUUCUACACCUGUUUGCAACAAGUAUACCGACACAUAUUUUUGGAUUUUCCAACUACAUGUCUGCUGAGUUAUAAUUUUUAAUUUUAGCGUUUGGGGUUCCAUGUACCAAUCUAUACCGUAAAAGAAAAUAAGGGACCAACCCUUCUCCGUCUGACCAUAUCUCAUUCUAAGACAUUGGGUGGUAUACAUUAUAAUCAACUGAGCUUGAGUGAGCGAAAGAAGAUGCUUGACUACGACGAGGUAAAUGGUCUUUCAUGUUAGGCGGAAGAUGAACUGUGGAACACUCUUAAGAAGGAGACAACAGAGAAAGGCCUCUUCUGUAAGGUGCAAGACGAAGCUCCUUGCAAGGAGAAAACCUCCAAGAAGGUGAAGGGCAAACAGGUAAAACCUCCAAGACAGUUUGCCUUUCAUGUAAGGCGAAAGGAAAACGGAAGGAAGCUAGGGAAGGUUUGGAGGAGAAAGAAUCGAAGAAAGGAAAAGGUAAGGUGUUGCAAAAGUGAAUGUAACUUGUUGGUUGAUACCUAUGCAUGCUUUUAAUACCGUGUGAAUUCUAGACUAAUACCGGAUGAGUAAAAUUUGUUACAAGUGACUUUCAAU